CUUCCGCCAGCUUCCCUCCUCUUCCUUUCUCCGCCAUCGUGGUGUGUUCUUGACUCCGCUGCUCGCCAUGUCUUCUCACAAGACUUUCAGGAUUAAGCGAUUCCUGGCCAAGAAACAAAAGCAAAAUCGUCCCAUUCCCCAGUGGAUUCGGAUGAAAACUGGAAAUAAAAUCAGGUACAACUCCAAAAGGAGACAUUGGAGAAGAACCAAGCUGGGUCUAUAAGGAAUUGCACAUGAGAUGGCACACAUAUUUAUGCUGUCUGAAGGUCACGAUCAUGUUACCAUAUCAAGCUGAAAAUGUCACCACUAUCUGGAGAUUUCGACGUGUUUUCCUCUCUGAAUCUGUUAUGAACACGUUGGUUGGCUGGAUUCAGUAAUAAAUAUGUAAGGCCUUUCUUUUU
rnacentral:lncRNA from 1 species